GGUAAGGAGCAGCGGCUGCACUUUGCUGGAGCAGCUGUGAAGAGAUACCCCACGUCCAAGGUCAAACCUGAGUCUGGUGUAGUCAGUCUCUGGAUCCAGCUGCAGGAGAGAGAAGCCAGGAAGCCCAUGAGCUGCACAGGAGUCCACUACCAGCAACAUCCAGUCCCUGCAGAACUACAGCUCAGACAGCCUGGGCUUCCUGACAGGGAAGAAAGUGGGAAGGAUGGAGGGAGAAGCUAGAGCUUAAAAGAGAUUUAAAAGGCAUCAAAUAUUUUUGAAGAAGCAAGACAAAAACUAUAUUGUCCAGGGAUGCACAUUUGGGUGGUAAAACUUUUUUUUUUUAAACCCAAAAAAGUGAUUUCUGUAAAAGUCAGGAUAAUGGUUACUUAUUUGGGGAGAAAGGGAUUGGGAUUGUGAUGGAGCUACAUGGAGAUGGCAAAAUUCCAUUUCCGGACCUGUGUCAUAUUAUUAAUACAAAGGUGUUCACCUUAAAUCACUGAAGUAAUAUUUUCUCUAUGUAGUUUUCUGUAUAUUUAAUUUUACAAUAAAAAGAUUUUUUAAACAUGUUCAAUUCUUAUUAAACA